CCCUUAGAUGUUCUGGGCCGCACGCGCGCUACACUGACGAAGUCAGCGAGCAUGUCCUACGCCGACAGGUGCGGGGAAUCUUGUCAAACUUCGUCGUGAUGGGGAUUGAUUAUUGAAAUUCUUGACCAUCAACGAGGAAUUCCUAGUAAGCGCAAGUCAGCAGCUUGCGUUGAUUACGUCCCUGCCCUUUGUACACACCGCCCGUCGCUACUACCGAUUGAAUGGUUUAGUGAGAUCUUCGGAUUGGCGCCACUGCGGCUCAGCAAUGGGCUCGGUGGAUGCCGAAAAGUUGAUCAAACUUGAUCAUUUAGAGGAAGUAAAAGUCGUAACA
rnacentral:rRNA from 1 species